rnacentral:lncRNA from 1 species
CUACAUUGUAUGGACAAAUAACAGACUUUUUUUUUUAAAUACCUUCUUUUGUGUCCAUGAAGAAAGAAUGUCAUGCAGGUUUGGAUCGACCUGAGGGCUUCUUCCUUUUCUUUUUGCUACCCUCUCAUUAUCAUUACCACUAUUAUGGAAGCCAUGAGAGACGCAAGGCAAAAGAGGCAUACAAUAUCAGGUAUUGAGCCACACCCAUCACCACACAGAGAAAAAAACAUGGGCUCAGGGGCUGCACAAUUCAGACUGGACAGUGCGAUCGAUAGGAUGCUCUAUUAGCCGUUGCCAUGGCAACUCACAGAGCAAGGACAGAGCCCCGGCGUUUAUUUACACCUGUCUUCUACUCCCUGCCACCUUGUGCUAGUCCCUGGCAGCUUGUGUUGGUUUAAGUGCCACCCAAAAACGUUAUACACUGUUAUACCUAUUAUCUAUUGUAUUUAUGAUUGUUUUUUUUGUCAUAGUGCAAUUUGCAUUUGCUUCCCCAAAAAGCGUAUAGGAUUUUGUAGGUGUACACAUUAUCUGUGUCUCAAUGGCCACUGUUUGUCUGCGUUCUUUGCACAAGUGUAGGAGUCUUUACUUUGCGUUGACCCCAAUUUGCAGGUCAAGUAAACAUGUUCAAUGCUGCAGCCGUUGACUUGACGAGGUCAUUAAAGAGAGCUGGAGAAGAACAGGCUAAGGCUUUUUUCAAUGAGCGCAUGAGUGAGCAAAACACUGCAACAAAGAGCGGAUCAGCAGACAACUUAACACUAGAAGCCAGCCAACUUAACACAAGAAUCCUCUUAGAUCUAUGUGAAUAUGGAUAAAGAAGUCAAAUGGUUAAACAAGUCAUUACAUAGAACGUUAGUUCAUUUUUACAGUAAAGUGAAAUAACGCGCUUAGUGAAACUGUUGUAUAAUAACGUAUAAUAUCAGCCUACACUUUUUAUUAAUAAAAAAGUGCAGUGAUGCCAUAGAAGAAAUAUUUUGGGUUCCCCAAAUAAUCUUUCAGUGAUCAAUAGUUAAAAUAACCAUUUUUUCUUAGUUCUUAGUUUAAAGAACAUUUUAAUAAUUUAAAAAACCUUUUUACAAUAUAAAAAAUAAAAACAGACAAAAAAAAACCUUGGUUCCAUGGAUGUUCAACGUUCUUUUUAGAACCAUCAAUGCCAAAAAAGAAUGUUUAUUUUUAAGAGGCACAAUGGAGCUUUGGAAGAAAUCUACAUAUCUAAAAAUGGUUAAACUGAUUGUAAAUAGGGAUGCAUGGC